UGGCGGGAUGCUUUACGUCAUGCAAGUCGAACGGCAGCACGGACUUCGGUCUGGUGGCGAGUGGCGAACGGGUGAGUAAUGUAUCGGAACGUGCCUAGUAGUGGGGAUAACUACGCCAGCAGUAGCUAAUACCGCAUACGCCCUUCGGGGGAAAGCGGGGACUUCGGGCCUCGCACUGGCCAGGGAGCGGCCGAUAUCGGACAGGUUAGUUGGUGGGGUAACGGCUCACCACAAGGACACGAUCCGCAGCUGGCCGAGGAGGACGACCACAGCCACUGGGACUGAGACACGGCCCAGACUCUACGGGAGGCAGCAGUGGGGAAUUUUGACAAUGGGGAAACCUGAUCCAGCCAUCCCGCGUGUGCGAUGAAGGCCUGUUGUAAAGCACUUUGGCAGGAGAAACGGCACGGCUAACACUCCCGUGCAACUGACGGUACCUGCAGAAUAAGCACCGGCUAACUACGUGCCAGCAGCCGCGGUAAUACGUAGGUGCAAGGUUAACGAACUACUGGGCGCAAGCGUGCGCAAGGCGGUUCGGAAAGAAAGAUGUGAAAUCCCAGAGCUUAACUUUGGAACUGCAUUUUUAACUACCGAGCUAGAGUGUGUCAGAGGGGAGGUGGAAUUCGCGUGUAGCAGUGAAAUGCGUAGAUAUGCGGAGAGAACACUGAUGGCGAAGGCAGCCUCCCGGGAUAACACUGACGCUCAUGCACGAAAGCGUGGAGCAAACAGGAUUAGAUACCCUGGUAGUCCACGCCCAAACGACAGUCGUAACUUAGCUGCUGGGGCCUCAGCGCAGCUAACGCGUGAAGUUGACCGCCUGGGGAGUACGGUCGCAAGAUUAAAACUCAAAGGAAUUGACGGGACCCGCACAAGCGGCGGAUGAUGUGGAUUAAUUCGAUGCAACGCGAAAAACCUUACCUACCCUUGACAUGUCUGAAUCCCGAUUUGGGGAGUGUCGCAAGAGAACCGGAACACAGGUGCUGCAUGGCUGUCGUCAGCUCGUGUCGUGAGAUGUUGGGUUAAGUCCUGCAACGAGCGCGGCAACCUCGGUCAUUAGUUGGCUACGAAAGGGCACUCUUAAUGAGACUGCCGGUGACAAACCGAUAGUGGGAUGACGUCAAGUCCUCAUGGCCCUUAUGGGUAGGGCUUCACACGUCGCCAUACAAUGGUCGGGACAGAGGGUCGCCAACCCGGCGAGGGGAGCCAAUCCCAGAAACCCGAUCGUAGUCCGGAUCGCAGGUCUGCAACUCGACUGCGUGAAGUCGGAAUCGCUAGUAAUCGCGGAUCAGCAUGUCGCGGUGUGAAUACGUUCCCGGGUCUUGGAAGACACCGCCUGUCACACCAUGGGAGUGGGUUUAUCACAGAAGCAGUUACCUAACUGCAAGGAGGGCGAUUACCACGGUAGGAUUCAUGACUGGGGUGAAGUCGUAACAAGGUAA
rnacentral:rRNA from 1 species